rnacentral:rRNA from 1 species
AGAACGAACGCUGGCGGCAGGCUUAACACAUGCAAGUCGAACGCCCCGCAAGGGGAGUGGCAGACGGGUGAGUAACACGUGGGAACGUCCCCCUCGGUUCGGAAUAACUCAGGGAAACUUGGGCUAAUACCGGAUAAGCCCUUACGGGGAAAGAUUUAUCGCCGAAAGAUCGGCCCGCGUCUGAUUAGCUAGUUGGUGAGGUAAUGGCUCACCAAGGCGACGAUCAGUAGCUGGUCUGAGAGGAUGAUCAGCCACAUUGGGACUGAGACACGGCCCAAACUCCUACGGGAGGCAGCAGUGGGGAAUAUUGGACAAUGGGCGCAAGCCUGAUCCAGCCAUGCCGCGUGAGUGAUGAAGGCCCUAGGGUUGUAAAGCUCUUUUGUGCGGGAAGAUAAUGACGGUACCGCAAGAAUAAGCCCCGGCUAACUUCGUGCCAGCAGCCGC